UGCCAGCAGCCGCGGUAAUACGGAGGGUGCAAACGUUGCUCGGAAUCAUUGGGCGUAAAGCGCACGUAGGCGGUUUCGUAAGUCGGAUGUGAAAGCCCUAGGCUUAACCAAGGAAGUGCAUUCGAAACUGUGAGACUUGAGUAUGGGAGAGGGUUGCAGAAUUCUCGGUGUAGAGGUGAAAUUCGUAGAUAUCGGGAGGAAUACCAGUGGCGAAGGCGGCAACCUGGACCAAUACUGACGCUGAGGUGCGAAAGCGUGGGGAGCAAACAGGAUUAGAUA
rnacentral:rRNA from 1 species